GCCUGGGUGGCUUAGCCAGUUGAGUGUCUGACUUCAGCUCAGGUCAUGAUCUCAUGGUUCAUGGGUUUGAGCCCCACAUCAGGCU
rnacentral:tRNA from 1 species